GGUUGGACGAGAUAUAAGCUGUUUCAUUUAAAAUUUAUAUAGAAUUUUAUUUUUUAGUUAAAAAGCUAAAAUAUGAUCAAAAGACGAGAAGACCCUAUAAAUCUUAAUUAUUUAAUAAUUUUUAAUUUAUUUUGGUUUUUUUUGUUAUAAAUUUAUUAAAUAAUUUUAUUGGGGUGAUAUUAAAAUUUAAAUAACUUUUAAUAAUUUUUGUCAUUUAUUUAUGAUUAAGUGAUCCAUUAUUAGUGAUUAAAAAAUUAAGUUACUUUAGGGAUAACAGCGUAAUUUUUUUGGAGAGUUCUUAUCGAUAAAAAAGUUUGCGACCUCGAUGUUGGAUUAAGAUUCAUAUUUAAAUGCAGAAGUUUAAAUAUUAAGUCUGUUCGACUUUUUAUUCUUACAUGAUCUGAGUUCAAACCGGUGUAAGCCAGGUUGGUUUCUAUCUUUGAUUUAAUAAAAUAUUUUAGUACGAAAGGAAUUAAUAUUUAUUUUUAAGAAAUUAUUUUAUGAAUGAAUUUAAUUACUAU
rnacentral:rRNA from 1 species